CCUACGGGUGGCUGCAGUGGGGAAUAUUGCACAAUGGGGGAAACCCUGAUGCAGCGACGCUGCGUGAGUGAAGAAGUAAUUCGUUACGUAAAGCUCUAUCAGCAGGGAAGAAAAUGACGGUACCUGAGUAAGAAGCCACGGCUAACUACGUGCCAGCAGCCGCGGUAAUACGUAGGGGGCAAGCGUUAUCCGGAUUUACUGGGUGUAAAGGGGGCGUAGAAGGGGCGCCAAGUCUGGAGUGAAAGGCCGCAGCUUAACUGCGGAAGUGCAUUGGAAAAUGGCGAACUAGAGUGCGGGAGGGGUAAGCGGAAUUCCGAGUGUAGCGGUGAAAUGCGUAGAUAUUAGGAGGAACACCGGUGGCGAAGGCUGCUUACUGGACCGUAACUGACGUUGAGGCUCGAAAGCGUGGGGAGCAAACAGGAUUAGAUACCCUUGUAGUC
rnacentral:rRNA from 1 species